rnacentral:rRNA from 1 species
UGCAGUCGAACGCAGUAGCAAUACUGAGUGGCGAACGGGUGAGUAUAAUGUAGGUAUCUGCCUUUUGGUUUGGAAUAACACGAGGAAACUUGUGCUAAUACCGGAUAAGCCUUCACAGGGAAAGUUUUAACGCCAAAAGAUGAGCCUGCACUUGAUUAGCUAGUUGGUAAGGUAAUGGCUUACCAAGGCUACGAUCAAUAGCUGAUCUGAGAGGAUGAUCAGCCACAUUGGGACUGAGACACGGCCCAAACUCAUACGGGAGGCAGCAGUGGGGAAUCUUGCACAAUGGGGGAAACCCUGAUGCAGCGAUGCCGCGUGAGUGAAGAAGGCCUUUGGGUUGUAAAGCUCUUUCGUCGGGGAAGACAAUGACUGUACCCGAAUAAGAAGGUCCGGCUAACUUCGUGCCAGCAGCCGCGGUAAUACGAAGGGACCUAGCGUAGUUCGGAAUUACUGGGCUUAAAGAGCACGUAGGUGGUUAAAAAAGUUGGUGGUGAAAUCCCAGGGCUUAACUCUGGAACUGCCAUCAAAACUUUUUAGCUAGAGUAUGAUAGAGGAAAGUAGAAUUUCUAGUGUAGAGGUGAAAUUCGUAGAUAUUAGAAAGAAUACCAAUUGCGAAGGCAGCUUUCUGGAUCAUUACUGACACUGAGGAACGAAAGCAUGGGUAGCGAAGAGGAUUAGAUACCCUCGUAGUCCAUGCCGUAAACGAUGUGUGUUAGACGUUGGAAAUUUAUUUUCAGUGUCGCAGGGAAACCGAUGAACACACCGCCUGGGGAGUACGACCGCAAGGUUAAAACUCAAAUGAAUUGACGGGGA